AUCUAACAGCAGGUGAAAAGUCCCCUUGUGUGAUGCUGCAUCCCUGUAAUCAAGGCACUUGGAACGUAGAGGCAGGAGGAUCAGGAAUUUAAGCAACACAAUAUGGAACAAGAUACUGCAGAAGCCCAAUGACCUGAGUUCAACCCCAAAAUCCACGUAAAAAAGUUUGAGGCAGUGGUGAGCACCUGUAAUCUCAGUAAUCCUCCAUCAAGAUGGAGGGCAGAGACAAGAGACUCACACAAGGCCCACGGUCCAGCUAACCUGGAGUACACAGGACAGUAGAAAUAAUAAGAGAGACCCUUGAUGAGGCAGGAGAGAGCUGACUCUCAAAGGCUAUCCUUUUACACACACACACACACACACACACACACACACACACACACAUUAGUUGUCUUUCUGUUGCUGGAUAAAAUACCAUGCACAAGGCUGUUAGUACUGAAAAAUAAGUUUGUUUUCAUUUUUAAAGACAGUUAAUACAUAUUAAUAUUAGCUUGUUUCUUUCAUUGUGAAGCUCAAAAUGAUGAUUCAUGAUGGACCAUGGACUAUACUAAUAAGACGGGACCUCAUGAAGCUACUCAAAAUGGCAAGAGUGUGGUUUGUGUCUGUGUGUGGAUAAGUGCACAGAGAGGCCUGGAAGUGAAGAGACCAGGCUGAUGAGAAGGCUCAGCAGGGAAAAGAACUUGCCACCAAAUCCGAUGACUUGAGUUUGAUCCCAGGGACCCAAACAGGAGAGAAUCCACUCCAGCAAGCUGCCCUCUGACCUCCACGUGUACUGCUGUAAUAUGCACCUACCUCCAAAUAAAUGAUUUAUGAUUUUAAAAUUA